AUUGAACGCUGGCGGCAGGCCUAACACAUGCAAGUCGAGCGAGCGGGGGAGGGGUGAGUAAUGUCUGGGAAAAUGCCUGAUGGAGGGGGAUAACUAUUGGAAACGGUAGCUCAUACCGCAUACCAUCGGAUGUGCCCAGAUGGGAUUAGCUCGUGGGUGGGGUAACGGCUCACCUAGGCGACGAUCCCUAGCUGGUCUGAGAGGAUGACCAGCCACACUGGAACUGAGACACGGUCCAGACUCCGACGGGAGGCAGCAGUGGGGAAUAUUGCACAAUGGGCGCAAGCCUGAUACAGCCAUGCCGCGUGUAUGAAGAAGGCCUUCGGGUUAUAAAGUACUUUCAGCGGGGAGGCGUUACCCGCAGAAGAAGCACCGGCUAACUCCGUGCCAGCAGCCGCGGUAAUUC
rnacentral:rRNA from 1 species